rnacentral:rRNA from 1 species
UACGAAGGCCUCAAGCGUUAUCCGGAAUUAUUGGGCGUAAAGCGUCCGCAGGCGGUUUAGAAAGCGUGUCGUUAAAUUUCAGGGCUCAACCCCGAAACAGCGAUGCGAACUUCUAGACUAGAGUGUGGGAGAGGCAUCUGGAAUUGUCGGUGUAGUAGUAAAAUGCGUUAAUAUCGACAGGAACACCAAAAGCGAAAGCAUGAUGCUGGAACACUACUGACGCUCAGGGACGAAAGCGUGGGGAGCGAAUCGG